ACUUGGCAGAAAAAAUGCAAUUAACUUAGGAUUAAUCUAUAUCUUUUGAUUAGUU
rnacentral:tRNA from 1 species